rnacentral:rRNA from 1 species
AAGACGGCCCUACGGGUUGUAAACUGCUUUUAUACGGGAAUAAACCCCAGUUCGUGAACUGGGCUGAAUGUACUGUAAGAAUAAGGAUCGGCUAACUCCGUGC